rnacentral:rRNA from 1 species
AGUGAACGCUGGCGGUAGGCCUAACACAUGCAAGUCGAACGGCAGCACAGUAAGAGCUUGCUCUUACGGGUGGCGAGUGGCGGACGGGUGAGGAAUACAUCGGAAUCUACUUUUUCGUGGGGGAUAACGUAGGGAAACUUACGCUAAUACCGCAUACGACCUACGGGUGAAAGCAGGGGAUCUUCGGACCUUGCGCGAUUGAAUGAGCCGAUGUCGGAUUAGCUAGUUGGCGGGGUAAAGGCCCACCAAGGCGACGAUCCGUAGCUGGUCUGAGAGGAUGAUCAGCCACACUGGAACUGAGACACGGUCCAGACUCCUACGGGAGGCAGCAGUGGGGAAUAUUGGACAAUGGGCGCAAGCCUGAUCCAGCCAUACCGCGUGGGUGAAGAAGGCCUUCGGGUUGUAAAGCCCUAUUGUUGGGAAAGAAAAGCAGCAGGUUAAUACCCCGCUGUUCUGACGGUACCAAAAGAAUAAGCACCGGCUAACUUCGUG